GGACUAAUUACGGAAAUCGACCAUUAGGGGGAAAGAAGAGCCGAUCCGGACCAUCCGACGGGCCAGCGCGUGGAUCCCCCCCUUUUUGCUCAAACGGCGCCGUUUUAUCCAUUAUUAAAAACAGAUUUUUUUUUAAAUCAUUUUCAGCCUUGUAUUUUAGAAAACCCUAAAACUUUUCCUUUUGAGGUUCUCUCAUUUCCCCUUUUUCGAUAGGCGCCACCCUCAUCGGAGAUCAGGCGCGCCUAGGCCACAGACGUUGCGAGUUCGCUAGUUCGUGAUUGAACGUGCCACUGACGUGGCGUGGUGGAGAGGCGCACAACGCGGAGGGACGCGCGACGUGCGGUGCCUAAAGGCUUGCUAUUUGCUGAAACGGCGCAAAAGGGGCUGCUAUGGUUUCCCAUGCCGAAAAUGUUUUGGGUUUGUGGGCCAAUUGGGCCGUAUUUGUAAAUAGGUAUUUAAGGUUUGGGGUAAGGUUUUAUUUCUUUGGGUUUGGGUCUAUUUUUGUUGGGUUUUGGCUUCUAGUAGUUUGGGCCGGGUAAAUUUUGGGCCCUACAAUAACUAUCAUCAAAUAACAACUCAAAGGUCCCAAAUCACCUGGACCGUGCAUGA